rnacentral:rRNA from 1 species
AUGCCCCUCUCCUUGCACAAGAUCAAGCAUGGUAUGCUGCUUCCGGUUAUCCACAAAGUUGAUCGUUGCCCCUCUGGUUGGCUGGCCACGUUUCUCUCUUGGGGUGGCAGACUCACUCUCAUUAACUCCGUUCUGGCUGGCAUACCGAGCUACUUCAUGGCUUGUUUUCAAUGGCCAAAAGAGUCUUUGCAUAAGUUGGACGCCCUGCUUAGGGCUUUCUUCUGGAAGGGCAAGAAUACAGUUAAAGGAGGACACUACCUGACGGCCUGGGAUAUGGUUACACUGCCUCGGGUAAACGGUGGCUUGGGGUAA